UACGGAGGGUGCAAGCGUUAUCCGGAUUCACUGGGUUUAAAGGGUGCGUAGGUGGUUCUGUAAGUCAGUGGUGAAAUCUCCAAGCUUAACUUGGAAACUGCCGUUGAUACUAUAGAUCUUGAAUGUUGUGGAGGUGAGCGGAAUAUGUCAUGUAGCGGUGAAAUGCUUAGAUAUGACAUAGAACACCAAUUGCGAAGGCAGCUCACUACACAAAGAUUGACACUGAGGCACGAAAGCGUGGGGAUCAAACAGG
rnacentral:rRNA from 1 species